CGCGUAGGUAACCUGCCUUGUAGCGGGGGAUAACUAUUGGAAACGAUAGCUAAUACCGCAUAACAAUGGAUGACUCAUGUCAUUUAUUUGAAAGGGGCAAAUGCUCCACUACAAGAUGGACCUGCGUUGUAUUAGCUAGUAGGUGAGGUAACGGCUCACCUAGGCGACGAUACAUAGCCGACCUGAGAGGGUGAUCGGCCACACUGGGACUGAGACACGGCCCAG
rnacentral:rRNA from 2 species